rnacentral:tRNA from 1 species
GGCCGGGUAGCUCAGUUGGUUAGAGCAUUGUACUGAUAAGCCAAGGUUGCAAGUUUGAUCCCCGGUCA